rnacentral:rRNA from 1 species
UGGGGAAUAUUGCACAAUGGGGGAAACCCUGAUGCAGCGACGCCGCGUGAACGAAGAAGGUAUUCGUAUCGUAAAGUUCUGUCCUAUGGGAAGAUAAUGACAGUACCAUAGAAGAAAGCUCCGGCUAAAUACGUGCCAGCAGCCGCGGUAAUACGUAUGGAGCGAGCGUUGUCCGGAAUUAUUGGGCGUAAAGGGUACGCAGGCGGUUUAAUAAGUCGAAUGUUAAAGAUCGGGGCUCAACCCCGUAAAGCAUUGGAAACUGAUAAACUUGAGUAGUGGAGAGGAAAGUGGAAUUCCUAGUGUAGUGGUGAAAUACGUAGAUAUUAGGAGGAAUACCAGUAGCGAAGGCGACUUUCUGGACACAAACUGAUGCUGAGGUACGAAAGCGUGGGGAGCAAACAGG